rnacentral:rRNA from 1 species
GCAAGCCGAGGGGUAAGUCUCUUUCGGGAGAACACGACCGGCGCACGGGUGAGUAACGCGUAUGCAACCUACCUUUGGCACGGGGACAGCCCGGGGAAACCCGUGAUUAAUACCCGGUAUAGUCUAUUAUACACCUGUAUAAAAGACGAGAGCUACGGCGGCCAAAGAUGGGCAUGCGUGCCAUUAGUUAGUUGGUAGGGUAACGGCCUACCAAGGCAUCGAUGGCUACGGGGUCUAAAAGGAUGAGCCCGCACACUGGCACUGAGACACGGACCAGACUCCUACGGGAGGCAGCAGUGAGGAAUAUUGGUCAAUGGGUGGAAGCCUGAACCAGCCAUGCCGCGUGCAGGAAGACGGCCUUAUGGGUUGUAAACUGCUUUUCUACGGGACGAACGGCUCUGACGUGUCAGAGAUUGACGGUACCGUAGGAAUAAGCAUCGGCUAACUCCGUGCCAGCAGCCGCGGUAAUACGGAGGAUGCGAGCGUUAUCCGGAUUUAUUAGGUUUAAAGGGUGCGUAGGCUGGGCAAUAAGUCAGUGGUGAAAGUCCGCGGCUCAACCGUGGGAUUGCCAUUGAAACUGUUGUUCUUGAGUACAGUCGAGGUAGGCGGAAUGUGUAAUGUAGCGGUGAAAUGCAUAGAUAUUACCCAGAACACCGAUUGCGUAGGCAGCUUACCAGCCUGGAACUGACGCUGAUGCACGAAAGCGUGGGGAGCGAACAGGAUUAGAUACCCUGGUAGUCCACGCCGUAAACGAUGAUCACUCGCUGUUGGCAAUAUAGAGUCAGCGGCUGAGCGAAAGCAUUAAGUGAUCCACCUGGGGAGUACGUCGGCAACGAUGAAACUCAAAGGAAUUGACGGGGGCCCGCACAAGCGGUGGAACAUGUGGUUUAAUUCGAUGAUACGCGAGGAACCUUACCUGGGCUUAAAUGUAGCCGGACGAUUCCGGAAACGGGAUUUCCUUAACGGCUGGUUACAAGGUGCUGCAUGGCUGUCGUCAGCUCGUGCCGUGAGGUGUCGGGUUAAGUCCCAUAACGAGCGCA